GUGAAUCUGUAUGUGUGCAUGCAUUCAUGCCCACAGAACUGUGUUUAUGCUUAUGCUUGUCUGGUUUCAACUGUUGCUGGCCCACAAGGAAGAGGGACCUGAAAAUAGCCAGACACCAGAGCCUUUCUUGACUGUCGUACACUCCCCCACCUGCUGCAUGUAUUCAGACUGAUUUCAUAGCUCUCCUCCUGUUAGCGUCCUGUCAUACAUGGUCCUCAAGUGCCUCCGGAACAUGGGUGCAAUGUGUACAUGCCCUUCUGAUUCAGGUGUUCUGGCCCAGCACACAACUGUGUCUGGUCUGAAGAAGGGUAAAGUGAGUGCAAGUGUCUGUGGCAUGUCUGCUUUGUGUCUGUCUGCAUCUUCCACUAAGCGAAUAGGGUAGGAAGGAAUGGUGACUCCUCUUCUAAGGAUCCAUGUUAACCGGUUACCUAAUACUGUUUAUUAAGGAUGUUAAGAGGAUUUGUCUAGAUUGCAGGUGCUGUAUUAAAAAGGGUUUGGACCGGUAAACUGUGUACUAUCAGUUUUUGGACCUCUCAAUUAAUGGGAUUGGAUA